rnacentral:rRNA from 1 species
AACUCAAAGGAAUUGACGGGGGCCCGCACAAGCGGUGGAGCAUGUGGUUUAAUUCGAAGCAACGCGAAGAACCUUACCAGGUCUUGACAUCCCCUGACAACCCAAGAGAUUGGGCGUUCCCCCCUUCGGGGGGACAGGGUGACAGGUGGUGCAUGGUUGUCGUCAGCUCGUGUCGUGAGAUGUUGGGUUAAGUCCCGCAACGAGCGCAACCCUUGCCUCUAGUUGCCAGCAUUCAGUUGGGCACUC